GUAGGUGGCAAGCGUUGUCCGGAAUUAUUGGGCGUAAAGCGCGCGCGGGCGGGUCCUUUAAGUCUGAUGUGAAAGCCCACGGGCUCAACCGUGGAGGGUCAUUGGAAACUGGGGGACUUGAGUACAGAAGAGGAAGCGGAAUUCCACGUGUAGCGGUGAAAUGCGUAGAGAUGUGGAGGAACACCAGUGGCGAAGGCGGCUUUCUGGUCUGUAACUGACGCUGAGGCGCGAAAGCGUGGGGAGCAAACAGGAUUAGAUACCCUGGUAGUCCACGCCGUAAACGAUGAGUGCUAAGUGUUAGGGGGUUUCCGCCCCUUAGUGCUGCAGCUAACGCAUUAAGCACUCCGCCUGGGGAGUACGGCCGCAAGGCUG
rnacentral:rRNA from 1 species